rnacentral:rRNA from 1 species
CACGUAGGGUGCGAGCGUUGUCCGGAAUUAUUGGGCGUAAAGAGCUCGUAGGCGGUGUGUCGCGUCGGCCGUGAAAACCUGCAGCUUAACUGUGGGCUUGCGGUCGAUACGGGCAUCACUGGAGUUCGGCAGGGGAGACUGGAAUUCCUGGUGUAGCGGUGAAAUGCGCAGAUAUCAGGAGGAACACCGAUGGCGAAGGCAGGUCUCUGGGCAUUAACUGACGCUGAGGCGCGAAAGCGUGGGGAGCAAACAGG